rnacentral:rRNA from 1 species
GACGAACGCUGGCGGCGUGCUUAACACAUGCAAGUCGAACGGAAAGGCCCUGCUUUUGUGGGGUGCUCGAGUGGCGAACGGGUGAGUAACACGUGAGUAACCUGCCCUUGACUUUGGGAUAACUUCAGGAAACUGGGGCUAAUACCGGAUAGGAGCUCCUGCUGCAUGGUGGGGGUUGGAAAGUUUCGGCGGUUGGGGAUGGACUCGCGGCUUAUCAGCUUGUUGGUGGGGUAGUGGCUUACCAAGGCUUUGACGGGUAGCCGGCCUGAGAGGGUGACCGGCCAGAGUGGGAAUGAGAUAACGCCGGGCGGCCGACGGGGGGCGGCAGUGGGCGGGCGUGCUGACGGGCCGCGGGCCUGAUGCCGCUACCGCGCGUGCGGGAGGGCGGGCGUCGGUAAGGAGACAGGUUUCGCCGGCGACCAACCUGCAGGCAGGGUAAUGAGUAGAGCGGCACGCGCUAGUUUGGUC